GGCUGUCACUGCUGGGGUGUCACACACAGGGGAACGCUGGGGCUGCCCUGCUCCUGCCCUGUCCCCAACAGCUCUGCCAGUGCCUCGAGGGGACACAAAGGCUGAGCCAAAGGCUGGAACUCACCCAACGGAGCAACUGAAUAAUGUCCCUCAUGGGCAGUGACUACCAGAAAGGAAUGUUCCUCCUUGGGGAAACACAUUAUCCUUGGAAUUCAGCCGAGCAUUGAAAUGGCCCCCUUGGCACCUCAGCACCACUGACAUCUCCUCUUACUGUACUUGGCCCAGGAGAUCUCCCGGAGCAGCUGCAGAGGAGUCGCUGUCAGGACGAGGGACAUUUAUCAAAGGUAGAUGUAGAUCAAAACAAGCUCUGGCACCAUACCAAAUCUUUAUUUGCCACUGGGAAAUAAAUGCAGAUGUCCCCAUGUCACAAUCUCA